AUUUGACAGGUAAUUUCUUUUGAGGCUGAAAUGAUCUCACUGCUGUAUUUUUACAGAGCACCUGAAAGAAUGGGCCCGGGGCUUCUAAAUGCCACAGUAACGCAGAUAAUACAGAGCCAUUAUUAUAUGCACUUUAAGAGCUGGCAAAACCACAAAAACGGGCCCGCUAGGAAAUACAAACCCUGCCAAUCUGUUCAUAAUUUAUCCACUUAAGGCUAAGCAUAGCACAAUUAUACCUGUGUGAGUGGACUACGAGAGUAUUUUGCCUUGAUACAUAUCUAUUUGGGGGCAAAACGUAGUUUAUAGAUAGUGUAAUUGUGCAGUACAAUGGUUGUUAUAUACAAUAUUAUGAAGCAAGUUUUGUGACAAGAGAUUUCUGGUUGGCUGGCACGUGUUCCACCACUUCAAAUGUCCAACAUAAUUGCCUUUAUCGCUGUCUGUUAGCAAAUUUUAACCUUCAAAAUUUCAUUAACAAGAAAGUGAUCUCUGAGAAAUGUAGUUUCAGUGCGUAUCUUAAUAGCCUCCAGCAAAAUAGUUACUUUCAGGGAUAUAGCAUCUAAUACAAGCAUAGAGAAAUGAGAAAAAUCAGGAUGGAGGCUAAAACGGCGUCCUCGAACCAUUCUGUUGUCUGUAGAUAUGACGGUGUGGAUAACAAUUAGCACCAGCAUGUGUGGAAGGUGGCAUCAUCUGUCCUUAGAUACAUGAUGAAAAUCUGUUGGUGUAAAUGGUUGGGAUUAAAACGUAUCGUUACCCUGACUUUUGAACGUCAUUUUAUUUCAAAUAAAAAAUAGCACCCAUAGAAUGUCAGGGUAGCACCGUAAGUGUGUAAAGCUCAAAUACAGCAUGGUAAAGGACUGAACAUUUGAUAUCCAUUUUCUUCAUAGCUUCCGCAAAUCUUACGUGAAUAUAUAAAUAGUUUUUUGCCUGUGUUGUACCUCAUAAAGCAAAUCCACUUUCCUUCCAGUCAUUGAAGAGCACUGGCUGUUUUCUGGAAUUUCUCAUUCUGGCUAUGAUGGGGCCAGGGGGAAUUCAUCGACAGCCUGCUGAGUUUCUUUGUCUUUUGAAACCUCUUCAAGUGCCAGUGGCAUUCUGUGGAGCAUCAGAAAUCGAUUCUGAAGAUGCACCUGCUGAAGAAAGUCAGGCAUAUGCACUCUGAGCCCCUUAAGAAAGAUUAUACCGUCAAGCUACAGUGAGCUGAUUUUAUUGUGAAAUUGAAAAGAAACCAAGGAUCUAGUCCUGGCCACUGAAGUCAGAAGAAUCUCUGGUUUCAUGAGGGAGGCAGAAUUAACCAUAAAU